GAUGAACGCUGGCGGCGUGCCUAAUACAUGCAAGUCGAGCGGUAAGGCCACUUCGGUGGUACACGAGCGGCGGACGGCUGAGUAACACGUAGGAACGUACCCCCAACUGAGGGAUAAGCACCGGAAACGGUGUCUAAUACCGCAUUUGCUCUUCGGAGUAAAGCUACGGCGGUUUGGGAACGGCCUGCGCAUGAUUAGCUAGUUGGUGAGGUAAUGGCUCACCAAGGCGACGAUCAUUAGCUGGUCUGAGAGGAUGAUCAGCCAGACUGGGACUGAGAACGGCCCAGACUCCUACGGGAGGCAGCAGUAGGGAAUUUUCCACAAUGGGGGCAACCCUGAUGGAGCAACGCCGCGUGCAGGAUGAAGGCUUUCGGGUCGUAAACUGCUUUUAUCUGUGAAGAUUAUGACGGUAGCAGAUGAAUAAGGAUCGGCUAACUCCGUGCCAGCAGCCGCGGUAA
rnacentral:rRNA from 1 species